rnacentral:lncRNA from 13 species
CCAUUCCCUUUGGGUGUCCUGAAGGCACAGUGCAUGCUUGUGGACUGAAUGGAAGGGAGGAAGCCUGUGUCUUAAGGUCCCUUGACAAGGUUGGGAAGAUUGCCUCUGUCCUGAUGCCGUUUUUCAGACCUACGGGUUGACCAUUCCAAAGAUGCCCUUCAGGGCUGAUUGUAGUUGGUUUUCUGCCAGGUGAGCCUCAGCUGGGAGUGUGGCCAGAGAUGGGUUCUGGUCACGAUAUCAGAUGUCCAGUGAUGAGGUGUGUGUGCUCAGACCAGGGGUGUCAGCUGUUAGAUGAGUGACCUCAGGACUAUGUGUUCACGGCCCUGAAGUCAAAGUUCACAUCCAACUGAUGGAAGACCCUGGUCUUGAGCCUUUGGGUUGUGGGUGGCUUCAGGUCUUGAGGAUGCAGACUAAUUGUCUGUUGCGGUGUUGGGAAACACAUGGCAUGAGGGACACACACACACAUACACACACACAGGCAUGUACAGCCAGAGAGAAGCAGCAUCAGGCUUCCUAGGUGUGUAGAAAGUGAUACGGGUGAGGUAUAUUCAUGAGGAUGGAGGUCCAUCAUGAGGGCCAAGGAGAAACAGCCAUGUGAGGUGCCCUGUGGAAAGAAUGGUGUUGAAGCGACCAGUAAUCCUGGGCUCAUUUCUCACAUGGGCAUUUAUUUCUUUACACUUCUCAAGGACAGUUAUGAUGGGACGUCCCCCAUAACCUGGCAAGGAAGAUGGUUGGCUCUUCUGAGGCACAAAGGCCUGGAGUCCUGGUGUUGGUAUGACCUGGCCUCCACGGUGCACCCCUGCUGUUGGAUGGCUCAGGACCGGGCAGUUGCCUUGAGAGGCCUGCUGCAUGCUGCCACAACAGAUGGUCGAUUCUUACAAGCAACGGAGUCCCCAUGGAGUCGUGGAGUCAGUGUGGCCUGGCAUCCAUCGUGCACCUUGUGGUGGCAGGUGGCUCAGGACGGUAAGGAUUCCUCUGCCUCUAGUUCUGAGGGUGGGUAUCUUUCUGAUUUCCAAGGCAGGCAUUGCCCAGCCUGUGGUGUUAGAUGUCCUGUGUCUUCACAUGUGCUUGGAUCGAUGAUGAGUCCCACAAAAAAAACAUUCCUUGGAAAAGCUGAACAAAAUGAGUGAAAACUCAUACUGGCACUGUCAUCGGAACUGAGGUCCAGCACAUUGCCUCCCCCGGGGCCUGUAGGAGUGAGGGACAGCUUCCACUGAUUCCCAUCGGUUCCACCACCCAGGGCUUCCAC